rnacentral:rRNA from 1 species
UCCCGUUGAUCCUGCGGGAGGUUGCUGCUAUUGGGGUUCGAUUAAGCCAUGCAAGUCUUCUCGCAAGAGAGGCGAAAUGCUCAGUAACACGUCGAUAAUCUGCCCUUAGAUCUGGAAUAACCUCGGAAACUGAGGGUAAUACCGGAUAGGGAAAUCCUACUGGAAAGUGGAUUUUCACAAACGCAAGGUCUAAGGAUGAGUCGGCGGCGGAUUAGGUUGUUGGCGAGGUAAUGGCUCACCAAGCCUAAGAUCCGUAGGGGCCUUGACAGAGGUAGCCUCGAGAAGGGCACCGAGAUACUGGCCCUAGCUCCACGGAGUGCAGCAGGCGCGAAACCUUUACAAUGCACGCAAGUGUGAUAAGGGGACCCCAAGUGCUGUUGCAACGCAACAGCUUUUGCCAAGAGUAAAUAUCUUGGCGAAAAAGUGGUGGGCAAUACCUGUGCCAGCCGCCGCGGUAACCCAGGAGCCACAAGUGGUGACCACCUUUAUUGGGCCUAAAGCGUCCGUAGCCGGUUUUGUAAAUUUCUGUGAAAUCGUUGUGCUCAACAUAACGACGUGCAGAAAAAACUGCAAGACUAGGGACCGGGAGGAGUCAGAGGUAUUUUGGGGGGAGCGGUAAAAUGCUAUAAUCCCCGAAGGACCACCUGUGGCGAAAGCGUCUGACUAGAACGGAUCCGACGGUGAGGGACGAAAGCUAGGGGAGCAAUCCGGAUUAGAUACCCGAGUAGUCCUAGCCAUAAACUCUGCGAGCUAGGUGUUGCGUAAUCUUCGGGAUUACGUGGUGUCGUAGCGAAGGCGAUAAGCUCGCCGCCUGGGGAGUACGGUCGCAAGGCUGAAACUUAAAGGAAUUGGCGGGGGAGCACUACAAGGGGUGCGGCGUGCGGUUUAAUCCAAUUCAACACGGAAAAUCUCACCAGAAGCGACGGCAGGAUGAAGGUCAGUCUAAAGGGCUUACCCAACGAGCCGAGAGGUAGUGCAUGGCCGUCGUCAGCUCGUGCCGUAAGGUGUCCUGUUAAGUCAGGCAACGAGCGAGACCUGUAUCCACAAUUGCUAACGAGAACAGCAAUGUUUGAUUGAGCACAUUGUGGGGACUGCUCCAGAAAUGGAGAGGAAGGUGCAGGCAACGGUAGGUCUGUAUGCUCCGAAUCUUCUGGGCUACACGCGCGCAACAAUGGUAGGGACAAUGGGAUGCGACACCGAAAGGUGAAGCUAAUCCUCGAAACCCUAUCCAAGUUCAGAUCGUGGAUUGUAACUCAUCCACGUGACGUUGGAAUCCCUAGUAAUCAGGCUUAAUCAGAGCCCGGUGAAUAUGUCCCUGCUCCUUGCACACACCGCCCGUCAAACCACCCGAGCAGGGUUUAGAUGAGGUCCAAUUUUUAAUUGGUUCGAAUCUGAGCUCAGCGAGGAGGGUUAAGUCGUCACAAGGUA